rnacentral:rRNA from 1 species
UACAGAGAGUGCGAACGUUGUUCGGAAUUACUGGGCUUAAAGCGCACGUAGGCGGUGUCGUAAGUGUCAGGUGAAAUCCCACGGCUCACCCGUGGAACUGCCUGGCAUACUGCGAUGCUCGAGUGUGGUAGGGAGAGCGGAACUCCUGGUGGAGCGGUGAAAUGCGUAGAUAUCAGGAGGAACACCGGUGGCGAAGGCGGCUCUCUGGUCCACAACUGACGCUGAAGUGCGAAAGCUAGGGGAGCAAACGG